rnacentral:rRNA from 1 species
GAUGAACGCUGGCGGCGUGCCUAAUACAUGCAAGUCGAGCGAAUGGAUUAAGAGCUUGCCCUUAUGAAGUUGGCGGCGGACGGGUGAGUAACACGUGGGUAACCUGCCCAUAAGACUGGGAUAACUCCGGGAAACCGGGGCUAAUACCGGAUAACAUUUUGAACCGCAUGGUUCGAAAUUGAAAGGCGGCUUCGGCUGUCACUUAUGGAUGGACCCGCGUCGCAUUAGCUAGUUGGUGAGGUAACGGCUCACCAAGGCAACGAUGCGUAGCCGACCUGAGAGGGUGAUCGGCCACACUGGGACUGAGACACGGCCCAGACUCCUACGGGAGGCAGCAGUAGGGAAUCAUCCGCGAUGGACGAAAGUCUGACGGAGCAACGCCGCGUGAGUGAUGAAGGCUUUCGGGUCGUAAAACUCUGUUGUUAGGGAAGAACAAGUGCUAGUUGAAUAAGCUGACACCUUGACGGUACCUAACCAGAAAGCCACGGCUAACUACGUGCCAGCCGCCGCAGUAA